AACGAACGCUGGCGGCAGGCUUAACACAUGCAAGUCGAACGCUCGUAGCAAUACGGGAGUGGCGGACGGGUGAGUAACGCGUGGGAACGUGCCCUGAGGUACGGAAUAACUGCGGGAAACUGCAGCUAAUACCGUAUGAGCCCCGCAAGGGGGAAAGAUUUAUCGCCUUGGGAGCGGCCCGCGUCGGAUUAGCUAGUUGGUGGGGUAACGGCCUACCAAGGCUUCGAUCCGUAGCUGGUCUGAGAGGACGAUCAGCCACACUGGGACUGAGACACGGCCCAGACUCCUACGGGAGGCAGCAGUGGGGAAUCUUGCGCAAUGGGGGCAACCCUGACGCAGCCAUGCCGCGUGAAUGAUGAAGGCCUUAGGGUUGUAAAGUUCUUUUGCCCGUGACGAUGAUGACGGUAACGGGAGAAUAAGCUCCGGCUAACUUCGUG
rnacentral:rRNA from 1 species